UUUUUUUUUGGUAAAGUUUGAAAAAUAAGCAUGUAAAGCAUCGAUUGUUGUUUGUGUAUUGAGAAUCAUUUUAUUGAAGCAAACAAAGGGUUUGUGCACUGGCAAUCAUUUUAUUGAAAUAAACAAAGGGUUUGUGCACUUGCAAGUUUAGAUCAGGCCUUGCUUGGAUUAUUGUUAAUACGUAGAGCAUGCAAAAAGUUGUGGUAUUAAAGUAAAUGUUUUUGUUAUUUUGUCGCCUUCAAUGCUUGAAUGAUAUAGAUGUCAUAGAUGUUAAAAUUUGAGUGCACUAAUUCGGACUCUGUUGUAUGAAACAAGAAAUAUAUUCAAUUGUAGUGCCAGACCGCACAACCAUGUGGUAGUGGUGGAGAAUCUUGAUAAUAGAACUGAAUGAUUCUGUUAAAUACAGGUUGGAGUGAUUCUGUUAAAUGCAGGUUGGAACCAUGUGACUUUGGUUUUGCAUGUUCCAUACAUAAGGAACAAGAUCCACUAACCAUGGGCAUAAAAAUAAACUAUACUGGGAUCACAAACACAUCUUCAAGGAUGAUGGAUCAAAACUUUGGUUUCUCUUUCUGUUUCUAUAGUAUCAUGUACAUUUAUACAGUAUAGUGUAUACACAUGGGAACAUUGUAUGAAGAUCAGCUAUUCCUUAAAAGGCAGAUGCCAAUCGGAGGUCGUCAAGAGUGACUUGGGAGUAUCUAUGAGCUAAGGAUGUUGAGUAGAGAAACUCUGCUCUGGACUAACUUCCUGAACAGAUGUCCUGCUCCGAUCUCAAGAUCUACGAUACUGCACUCUAACUCUGACAAUUGCUCUUCCUUGCAGAAAACUGACUUCUUUUUGUGAAAUGCCUUGAAAACAAGAGACUGUUUAGGCAUUUCAAUUUGCUUUGACAAGAGACGGAGUGUGGACUCCAGCAGAGGGACAGAGAUCUCCCUGGCCUUGGCCAAGAGCAUGACCAUCCUGCAAUCUACAGAAGUCUUCUUCGCGGUCUUCUUGAAAUGAUUCUUGGCCUUCUUCGCCAAGCGGGUGUAAGACUGGAUCUUGGCUUGAGUAGCUGCAUCAUCCCCUUUCCUUAGAGCCACUUGCAGCUCUUGGAUGAUGGCCUUCAUCUUGGCAAAGAUCUCUUGCAUGAUGCUGCAGAGAUCUAGCAGCUCAAGAGAACCUUCCAUUUCUCCAUCCAACAUGUUCCUCUGCUGGGAGGAGAAAACAUGGUGGCUUGGUAGGCAAAUAAUCUCUUCAAGACCAUCGUAGAUGUUUGCAGGACUCCUGAGACCAUCGCACAUCAUGCUGAUGGAAUUGGAGGAAGAGAUGCUUGCUUCUAGGCUGUGAAGCUCUUGCUCGACUUGGGUCUCACUGACGUGAGGCCUAGAAGGCAAACUUAUCGAUCUUUGGUGGAAAGCCAUAUCUGAGCUUGAAGCUUUUCUCAGUAUAUAUUGUGGUUGAUGAAGAGUUGAAGAAAGGAACACUUAUUUGUUUGAUGUGUCUACUGCUCUGCUGAGGCCUAUUUAUACAGAAAUGUAGAAGCAGUAGCAUUUGAUUGGUAGACACGAAGAAUCAUGCAAUUACAUCUCCCACAUGUUGUCUGCUAUGCCUUGAGAUUUUUUAAGCACAAGCAUAGACAUUGGAAUCCUAAAGUCAUCUCAUGUUUAGUACAUUGUUUUAUGUGUCUACUGUCCUUGCUAUGGGCCAUUACAUUAUUAUGUUCCAGCAAUUGGCAACAAGAACCAGCAGUCCAGUUUAGUCUGAUGGUGGAUCUUGGCAUAAUUGCUUACCAAAGGCCAAAGCCAUUAUUUAAUGGAUUGCUAACCUAGCAUUUUGCCAUGGAAUGCCUGUAUUUAAUCAGGUGUUUUCUUUGGUGGGUACCCUUGCGAAUCACAAGUGAAAGCUUCGAUGAUCAGAGCUGGCAUGUUUAGGCCAUGGAAACACCUUAUCACCUUAUUAUCCAUGUUAGUGGUUCAGCGUGUUACCCUGUUUUUUCAGUUUGAGGCUUUCAGCCACCCACCAUUUCAUAUCUAAUGAGAAACGAGCUUUUGUUGUGUGCCCGUGUCCACCCUAUUUUUUCCGAUGUUUUCGUAACACCUUAUUACCUCUUGGUCAAACUAACUGAUUCUCGAACACUACCAUCUCUACUUUUGGUAAAGUUUGAAAUAAGCAUAUAAAGCAUUGUUUGUUCUUUGUGUUUCGAGAAUUAUUAUAUGGAGAAGAACAAAGACUUUGCACACUGGCAGGUUUGGAUUAGGUCUUGCUCAGAUUAUUGUUAAUUUUGUAGAGUAUUUUUUUGUUAUUACGAUGUUAAAAUUUGAGUGCUAAUUUGGACUUUGUUGUAUGAAACCAGAAUUAUAAUUAAUUGUAGUGCCAGACUGCACAGCCAUGUGCAAGGGAACACAAGCACAUCUUCAAGUAUGAAAAGGUCAAAUGGAUCAAAACUUUUGUUUCUCUUGCUACAGUAUCAUGUACAUUUCUACUGUAUAGUGUAUACAUAGGGGAAAAUUGUAUGAAGAUCAGCUAUUCCUUAAAAGGCGGAUGCCAAUCGAAGGGUGUCAAGAGUGUCUUGGAAGUAUCUAUGAGCUAAGGAUGUUGAGUAGAGAAACUCUGCUCUGCACUAAUUUCUUGAACAGAUGUCCUGCUCCACUCUCAAGAUCUAUGAUACUGCACUCUAGCUUCGACAGUUGCUCUUCCUUGCAAAAACUGACUUCUUUCUGUGAAAUGCCUUGGAAACAAGAGACUGUUUAGGCAUUUCAAUUUGUUCCGACAAGAGAUAGAGUGUGGACUCCAGCAGAGAGACACAGAUCUCUCUGGCCUUGGCGAAGAGCAUGACCAUCCUGCAGUCUGCAGAAAUCUUUUUCGUGGUCUUCUUGAUUAUGAUUCUUGGCCUUCUUCGCCAAGCAGGUGUAAGAUUGGAUACUGGCUUGAGCAGCCGCAUCAUCCCCUUUCCUUAGAGACACUUGCAGCUUUUGGAUAAUGGCCUUCAUCUCGGCGAAGACUCUUGCAUGGUGCCACAUAGAUCUAGCAGCUCGAAAGAACCGUCCAUUUCUCCAUGCAAGAACUUCUUCUGCUGGUAGGCACAGACUUGGCUGCUUGGAAGGCAGAUGAUCUCUUCAACGCCAUUAUAGAUGUCACCAAGCCUCCCCGGACCCUCGCACAUUGUGCCAAUGGUCGUGGAGGAAGAGAUGCUUGCCUCUAGGCUCAACAUCUCUUCUUCAAUCUCGGUCUCGGUGGGGUGAGGCCUAGAAGGCAAACUUAUCGAUCUUAGGUGGAAAGCCAUGUCUGAUCUUGAAGCUUUUCUAUAUAUUGUGGUUAAGGAGAGGAGGAGCAGAAAAGAAGAGCUUAUAGCUUGAUGUAUCUACCGUUCUGCUCACGCCUAUUUAUAAAGAAGGUAUGUUUACAGUUGUACUGUAGCAUCCAAGUGGUAGACAUGAAGAAUCAUGCCACAUUACAUCUCCCAGAUGCUGUCUGCUAUGCCUUGAGAUCUGCCAGAAGCAUAGAGAUCAGAACACUAAGAACACUAAGGUCGUCUCAUGUCUGGUAUCCUCGAGAAGAAACAUCACAUUGUCAUGUUCCACUUAUUGGCAGCAAUAACCAUCACAUUGCACGCUGAAGCUAUUAUCUAGUGGAAUGCUGCUGGCUACUGGCAUGUUCUUCAUUUAAUUGGCUAUUUUUUCUUUUGAUGGAUACUCAUGAUAACCACGGCCGAUGCCUCAUAAUUUGGAGCUGGCAUUUUCAUGUAUCGGAAAACAAGAUCCAAUGCGCCUUUUAUUUUGUUCAACAUUGUGUCCCCAUCUUUUCAGUUAUAUCGUAUCAAACAAUGACAUAAACAAGGUUUUGAAUUGUGACCUUGCUCACCAAUCUCUUUUCAAUGUUAUGCGAUGCUAUUUCUUUUUGGUUAUACUAAUUGAUUCUCAAACAUCAUUGUGGGUGAAGUUUGCCAUCCUAUCAGAUUGUUUUUCUUUUUAGGUUAUUUCUGUUGCUAGCCAAAUUGUUCAGUUCUACGUCUGAGGUCACUAGCCAAAUGGCAUAGAUGCUAAACGAAUCCUGUUUGCUAGUAAUUUUGGAGCUUUCUGCCAGUAUACAAGGUCUCGUAAUAAUUUGUAAUGUUGGCACAAACAUAGUUACAUAAUAAUUUGUUGCGCUCUGUAAUCGUUUUCUUCCCUGCAUGUUUGGGUGUGUGUACUGUGUCUCUUCUACCUUCUCAAUGGAAUGAAACACAAGGCUUUUGCGUUUUCUCAACCAAAAAAAAACGGUAGAAUAUGCUGCUUAUUUUGAAGUCAGUGUUUUACCCAGGUCGGGUCAUUGGUAUGAUGUAGUACAAUUUAGAGCACACUUUAAAAUUCUGCAACGCGUAAAGAAAUGGAGUAAUCUCCAAUGGGUUAUUUUGGGGGGGUCGAAUUUCUACAAGAUUACAUUGUUUUACAGUCUGUUUAAAGGAUGGUCAUUCCUUGGCUGAAAUGGUGGCAAUUAGAAGAUUGGAGUAUCUGGCAAAUACUCCCAGCAAGAAAUCAGGGCAUUUGCAAUUGCAUAUUAACUGCAGUCUACUGGUGCGGGAGAAAGUGAAUUAGUGAUGUCUAUGUAGCACAUAUACUGACAGAAUGUAAAAUGAAACCAAAUAAGUGGAAGAUCUCGUAGUUGCAAAAUCAACAUGUUUCUUAGACAAAUAAAUGGUGAUAUUUCAUAAGUAAAACAUACUUUUGUUGCACUACAAGCACCCAGAAUUGUUUUUAGUCAUAAAGAGUGGGUGUGCACUGUUGGGGGCGAUGCCGGACCAAUCCCAACAUGGAAGUAUAAAAAAAAAACCUAUACAUAAACAUAAGUCUCAAAUAUCCUUCAUGUUGAGCGCAGUGGAGUGUAGCAGAGUAUUCUGAAAGGUGUGCAACUUCUGAAGGAGACAGAACUCAGAUUCGUACCUUGUCUGGUCCAUGGGUGCCUGGAGGGUGUUACCCGACAGUCAGGUAGUCAUGCCAGUGCCAAUCUCCCUACUGAAGUUGGCAAGUUACCGUGCUCAUGGAGGCAGUGACUGAAACGUGGGGCAUGGGAUCGAUUCGUCAAACUUUUGCAGCAGAGGAUGUUCCCGUGGUCCUCAUCAUGCCGAUAUUUGAACAGAGUGAAGAUUUGGUCCUGGAAACUACUUGGCACACAAAACUUGAGUGCAUGAUGUAUCUCGCACCUUGAUGAUUCGCCAGCCUUGUCACCUGAAGUUUCACCCUGUGACUGGAAGCGAACCAGGAUGGAAUCAAGUAUUGACAAGGUACAACAGACACAAAAGUGAAGGGUCCAAAUAAAGAUGAUCCAGAGAAUAGCAGUACACUCUUGGGGAUUACCACAAAGCUAUAACUAGAAGCUCGGUGAGUUAGUCCAUGGGUUUUGAUGGGAUUUCGUUUAUGACAAUGUCAUAAGUGAGCAGACCUACCCUCUAUGGCUCACCGUAUGAAUGUUUCAAAAGCAAAUGUUAUCAACAUCCAGUCUAGUACCUUCAGCAAAAGCAAAGUAUAGGGAUUAACAGUUGCUGCUAACAUACAUAGGAAGAUCUUCCAAUUGUUAGUGUUUGUGGAAAAGAAUCAAUUGCCAUCCUUUGAAACCAAUCUUCUACCAUAAAAAUGCUAAUAUUUCCACUGUUGAAACCAAUUUGACCAAUGUGUAGCUUAUAUAUGGCAUGAAGAUAAAACUAGGACUCUGUUGCGUGGAAAACAUGAAAACUGUUCCCAGCCAACAAAAACUAUUCAUAGUACUGUAAUUCGAAUAUCUAGCUUAUAAGCAUUCUCAGUUUACAGAAUGGUAUGGUUCCAUGGAAAACUACUGGAGGCCAUUACCGCCACCGAAAUAGUUCCCAUUAUCCGUUGGAUGAGUUGAUGAUAUCGCAUUAUCAAGCUCUAAGCUAACAAGCUCUGAAUCAUGCAUAGCAAAAAAAAAGAUCCAAAUCGUUUUUUUACAACAAAUUUCUAGAUGCAUUUUUUUUACAAACGGAACAAUUAAUGGUGCCUAAGUUUCUUCCAUGUUAUAGUCAUUGCUGGUGCUUGCAAAUACACCAAAGAUUUCAGGUAAGCGCUAUGACAGAAAUAGCACAAAAAACUACUGUAUAGCUAUUUAACAAAAGAAAAAGAUAGCUAAAUUAUCUUGAUUUCUACAUGUAUACUUGUUAAAAAAACAUCAUAGCUAACCGGGGCAGUUCUUUUUUUGCUUCCGUUUUUCUGUUCUCAGCUGUGUCAGGUGGAAACAAAUAUACAGAUAGGAACUUUCACAGAUUCCUUGGGCGACAACAGGCAGGAAAAGUACUCUUCCAAUGCCUACGAAACCUAAACUACUGCAUGACAGGCUCCUCAACAAAGGCCAAAUAUUGAGUUCAAUCCUCUGUUCUACACAUACAUUCUAUCAUAUCCUUACAUUUUGCACAUUUUUCCUAUCUUGUGAACCAACGGAGCCCUAAAGGUGGGAACUACGCAAACCCGCCCGUCAACGUCAAUGUCAUCACAACCACCCCAAGGAAACUUCAGUCAAGAUUGGAGGGCAACCAAAUUUGCAUAAAAUAAUUGAAGGCCAAGGUCCUGAUAAUUACCUGAUAGUACAUAAAGUUCAUAUCGGGAACAUGCGGCUACUAAAGCAGUCCACAAGUAGUAGCAGCUGGUGGUCGUGUGCCCGGCCCACUGCCCACAGACUUGCACCCUGGUUUCCAUCUUUCAGACUAUCAUAUAGCAAAGUUAGCAACUGGUACAAUUAAGUGGAGGCUCAGAAUAAAACAACUUGGAAAGCUAGCACAGUGAUGGCAGUGUGCAUGAAUGCCUUCACUAACAUGCAGGAAGAUUCUUGCCACGUACUUAAAUUCAGACAUGACUCGGAUGAGAUACAUGCACCCACGUGAUUAAUCUAAAGUUAAUUUAGUCGUGUGUACACACACACACACACACAGAGCCAUGUUUCCUGCAAGCAAUGGCGCGCCCCAGUGGCAGCUUCUCAUCAUCAUCCUCUACGCCGGCUGCUUCCUCCUCUCCUCGCCGCUCGAUGCUCCUUGACAUGUCGCCGCCGCAACGCCGCCACCCAUCUCAUUUAGCUUCAACUUCGCCAACUCAUCCUCAUACGACGCAAAAUACCUCAAUUUCUCGGGUGACGCGGCCGUGAACGACAGCUUGGUCAACCUUGCAGGCAACUCCAUUGCAGCAGUGACUACUGGCGACCGCGGCUUAAUGUCGUAUGGGCCCCCGUGGCCUUUGUAUGACAACACCACCCAUGAGGUGGCGAGCUCAUGCAUGGAUGGCUUCACGGGCAUGCCCAGACCGGAUGACUUCACGGCAUCUUCUUCAAGAAAUGCUAGGACACCAUCAAAGAUGACAUUAUGAGGGUCAUACACAUCUUUGAGUCCCUACAUUCGGCAAAUUUCCAUUGGCUCAACUCCGCAAAUGUGGUGCUUUUGCCCAAAGAGUGGUGCGGAGGGCAUCUCCAACUACAAAACCAUUAGUCUCAUCCAUGUUAUCAAUAUUAUUGCGAACGUGCUAUCCAUCAGCCUUGGCCCCCACAUGGAUGCCCUGGUCUCCAACGUGCAAAGUGCAAUCAUCAGGAGGGGAAGGAUUCACGAUAACUUUAUGUAUGUCCGAACUUUGCCCGCUGGUUGCACAAGUGCGGGACCCCCACCCUACUCUUCAAGCUUGACAUUCGCAAGGCCUUUGAUUUGGUUAAGUGAGAGUACAUCAUUGAUCUUCUACAAAGGAAAGGCUUCCUGACCAAGGUUCGGAAUUGGAUCACCGUGCUUUUCUGCACAUCUUCAUCGCGGAUCCUCUUGAAUGGUGUCCUUGGCCAUCCCAUGGUGCAUAGUAGGGGGCUUCGCCAAGGCGAUCCACUUUCACCUCUCAUGUUCGUCAUUGCUGGAACUAGCAACUCAGAAGGGUCUCCUUCACAAGAUUCGUGGGAGAGGUGCUAGGGUGAGAACCUCCCUAUAUGCGAACAACGCGACCGUGUUCAUGACCCCUAUCAAGAGGAAUAUUGAUAACCUCGCGACUAUUUUAAAGGGGUACAACGAGGUGACUGGUCUUUGCACCAACUUCCAAAAGAGCUCAGUGGUGCCCAUUCAAUGCAACCAACUCAAUUUGGGCCACAUUCUGCAGAGAUUGCCGGCAACUAGAGCUUCGUCCCCCUUGACAUAUCUGGGCCUUCCUCUCUCGGUAUGGCAGCUCAAGAAGGUGGACCUUCACUUCCUUGAAAACAAGGUGGCCGGAAAACUCGUCACGUGGGAGGGUCAACAUAUCACUACUAGUGGCCGCACAACGCUAGUCAAGUCCGUCGUCACUUCCCAGGUGGUCUACUUUACAACACCACUUGUCGUCCUACCGAGCACACCUCGAUUUUAACAAGCUUGAGCGGGCCUUUCGUUGGUUCGACUCGAACAACACUACUAGUGCAAAACGCAAGGUGAAAUGGGAGGCGGCCUGUCAGCCACUCAAAUAUGGAGGCUUUGAGGUGCUCAAACACUGAUAAAAUCGCUAUGGCCUUGAGGUUGCGUUGGUCAUGGUUUGAAUGGAAGGAGCCAGGGAACUUGCAGAUUGGUAUGGGAAACCGUUAUAAUGAGGAUGACCUUGAUUUCUUCUAUGCCUCUACCACCAUCACGGUGGAGAAUGGCGCUAAAACACCGUUCUGGGACUCACCAUGGCUCCUUGAACGAAAACCAAAAGAUAUUGCCCCUCUCAUUUUCAAGGCAUCAACGAGAAAAGAUUGGAAGAUGCGUGAGGCCCUCAAGGAGAAUGCUUGCAUUUAAAAGAUUAAACCAUCCACAAUUGUUUCUGUCGACCACAUAAGGGAGUUCUUCACAAUUUGGAUGCUUGUGCAUGACUUCCAUCUUGAUGAGCAUACCAAGGACAACAUCGUGUGGAAACAUUCGACAGAUGGGCUCUACUCAGCAGCUUCCACCUACAAGGCGCAAUUCUUUGGUAUGACCUCUCCCCUAUGGAACAAAUGGUUUGGAAAGUUUGGGCUCCGCUAAAAGUCAAGUUCUUCGCUUGGUUAGCCAUACAAGGCCGAAUUUGGACCACCCAUAGAUUGGCCAAGCGAGGCUGGCCAAACUGUGGCCUUUGUCCUCUUUGCAAGAGGGAGCGUGAAGCUAGAGCACAUCUCUUCUUCAAGUGACGUUUUACAAUUUAGCUAUGGAACUUGGUCAUUGAGAAGCUUGGUCUCGACCACAUGUACACUUCUACUUGGCACUUGGAGGAUCCCAUCAAGUCUUGGUGGGCUAAUAGGACCGGGUUGAACAUCCUUAGCUAGAUGGCCAUGGCUUCUCUCACCAUGCUUGUAUCUUGGACAAUUUGGAAGACAAACUCCCGCGUCUUCUGUAAAAAGAGUAAACCGCCGGUGAUCUUGCUAAACACUAUUUUAGCCGAAGCCAAUCUUUGGAGCACCGCAGGGGCUAAGAAGCUAGGCACUUAUAGCGCGAGAGUAAUCACCAUGUGUUGUAUGAGAGUCGGUUGUAAAACAAACUCUAUUCUCUCCUUAAUUAAUAGAUGAGGCAAAUCUUAUGUCUCCGUUUCAGAAAAGCUCAUGCAUGGAUACCCCAAAGGGGAUGCCAUGGCUUUCUUCCUCGUCGGCUAGCCAUCGGCGCUACCGCCAGACUCGACCGGUGAUGCCUUCGGCCUCACAAACAAGAAACCUUGGACAACAUUGGCAUCGACCUCAGCUCCUUCAGACACUCGGUUAACACGACAAGCCUACCUAGCUUCAGCCUGAAUGGGACCAUGACGGCAUCCAUCAAUUUUAACAUCACCGGGAUGAUGGUCACUAGACUGCACUUCGAUGGCUAAAAUAGCCUAGACGUGACCGGAAACAAAAACAGCCCACGCCCUGGCGGCAACAACUACAGUCAGAACACAUCAUCAUCAUCCGCCGGCAGAUCACUCUACUAACUAUGCAUUAAGCCAGACCAUGAGGUAACUGAGUGUUGGCACCAUUUUGAUGAAAAUUAUCUUCUCGGCGAACGCCAUGUGGCUGCUGCUCUCCGGGAACAAGGAGAAGGAAACAUGGUAUUGUAUGCUGACUCCGGGCUUGAGAAGCUUGCCAUCCGCGAGAAGUAUUUCGGCAACAACCAAGUACACACCACCACAAGCGGUUGACGUAUGAACACCCAUCACAUUGGUCAAGCCUCAAUUAGUUCCCCAAUUGAUCUUCUAUUAAGAGAUGUUCUCCACGUUCCACAAGCCAAUAAGAAUCUUGCUUCUAUGUCUCGCUUAACAACCCAUAACAAUGUAUUCUUUGAAACUCAUCCUAAAUAUUAUUUUUAUAAAGGAUCGAGCAAUGCACCAGAUGACCUUACCCCAUCACAACAAGAGCAUUUAGUCAUCAAAAGCGUCGUCAUCAAGCCCUCCUUGGCAAGAUGGCAUCAAAGAGUAGGACAUCCGUCAUCAAUCAUAGUUGAGCAAGUAGUCAAUCAAGGCAAUCUUCUAUUUUCAGGUAGUGAAAAUAAAGAGUCUGUUUGUGAUGCUUGUCAGUGUGCCAAGAGUCACCAACUCUUUGAUGACAUCUUGCCAAGGAGGGUUGACGAUGGAGUAGGCUUGACACAACGCUUUCGACUAAAUGCUCCUCAUGUGAUGGCGUGAAGUCCUCCGAUGCAUCUACCGCGAUGGAGUUCCCUUGUUGCCCCAAUCCUUUAAAAGAAAAUAUUUAGGAUGAGUUUCAAAGAAUACAUUGUUAUCGGCUGAUAAGCGAGACAUAGAAGCAAGAUUUUGUUGGCUUGUGGAACAUGGAGAACAUCUUUUAAUGGAAGAUCACGUUUAGAAAUAGGGCAUUAAUUGAAGCUUGACCAAUGUGAUGAAUGUCCAUACCUCCACCGCUUGCGGCGGUGUGUACUUGGUCGUUGCUGAAAUACUUCUCGUGGAUGGCAAGCUUCUCAAGCUCACCUGUGAUGUGGUCGGUCACCCCGGAGAAAAGCAGCUACAUGGCGUUCGUCGGGAACAUAAUUUUCAUCAAACGGUGCCAACACUCAGUUACCUCAUGGCUUGGCUUCUUGCAUAGUUGGCAGCGUGGUCUACCGGUGCAGGAGGAUGAUGUGUUCCUGAUUCUAGCCGCGUGUGUGUUGUUGUUGCCACGCCCAUGCACGCCGAUGUUGCAGCCAUGUCCUUGGUGACCACGGCCUGGGCUGCCACUACCACGGCCACGAGCCGCAGCAUUGGCAGAAGACUAUUGUACGGGCGUCCCUUGGGAAAGGUUGAGUUGUGCCUCAAAGCUCAUCGGCUGGCUGUAAAGCUCCAGGGGCGUGACAAGCUCGACGCGGUCAAGGGCUGAGACCACAAAGUUGUACUCAAGGUCCAGACCUGAGCAGACAUAGGAGAUGAUCUCGUGGUUGGAGAGGGGCACACAAGCGAGAGUGAUCUCAUCAGAGAGCACUUUGAUUUGGGCGAGGUACUCCGUCAUGCUGGAGUUAGCCUUCUGAAGGUUAACAAGCGCGAUUCUGGUGUUCACGGACUCGGCUCGUGUCUGGGCAACGAACGUGGCAUGGAUGGCGCCCCACACCUCGGCCGAAGUCUGCAGCAUGACGGCCUAGUCAAGCACUUCGCGGGACAUAGAACCCAUUAGAUAGCCUUGUACAUGCUGCUGCUGAGCGUACCAGAUCGCGCGCGCAUAGUUAACGUUUUGCUCUUCCUUCUCGUCGGUGGUGACGGUGAUGGUGACGGGCGACGCUGGGCUUGCUGCGUCCAUCUGUGCGCCCUUAAUGUGGGGCAACACGAUGGCCUUCCACAGGAGGAAGUUUGUCCUCGUGAACUUCUCUUACGGUGGUUGACCGAGGGACACAACGUUGGUGCUAGAGGAGGGAGCAAAGGUGGAAGAUGAAGAUUGGGAGGUCAGGGCACUCAUGGUGCUGGCGAACGCGGAGGCGGUGGUGUCGGUCAUGAUUUCUCUUAGGAGCUUGGCUAGAUGUGAUCUACGAUCUUAUGAGGAAGCAGCUCUGGUACCAUGUAAAUAUUAUGGGAAGCAUAUCUCCUAUCGUAGCAGGCCGCAGGUAUUUAUAGACUGAGGCGAUCAGCCAACCAUGUCACAUGGCAUACAAGUUGAGGACGAUGGCUAGGAUGCGUCCAGAUAGAUGGGAGAUCGAGAGGAGAUCAAAACUAUUUAACUAAAUUCUAUCUCUACUCUAUCUAUCUGUCUAACAAGCUCGCAGUUGCCCUACCUGGAAAUGUUACUCCCAGCAGAUGUGGCGGUAGGGUUCUCUGCAGCCACUGGCAUAGGUGUGGAGCUCCAUGAGAUAUUGUCAUGGUCCUUCAACUUCACACUUGCUCCCAAAGAACAACUACCAAUAUCGAUAUGUAUGUGCUCAUCUUGAGUAGGGCAGUAACUUUUUACAACCUUGCACAAAGAUUUAGGAGGUUAUUUCACAAUCCGGGUGUGUGUUAUUUGGUACGGGUCUAACUGCAGCAGCGAUUGCUGGAGGAGCUUCUGUGUUCCUGCUCGUGGAUUCGUUCAUUCUAUGAUGGUUUAUGUGGAGACGAAGGCGUAAUUCCCUCAUGGUUUCGAGGGCUGGCCCUAAGCAAUUCCGGUACCGGGACUUGGCUUGCCCAACCAACAACUUCUCCAUGGAGAGGAAGCUCGGAGAGGGGCAGCUUUGGCACGGUGUACUGGGGAACAGACCUCAAGGUCGAUCAUGAUGGAGGAUAACAAUAGGUUGUUGUCAAGGAGCUCUUGAAGGGGUCCAGGCUAGGAGGAGUCAAGGACCUCCUCACGGAAGUCAACACCAUUAGCAACACCAAGCACAAGAAUCUGGUCAAGUUGCAAGGCUGGUGCGGCAUAAGCAGAUGGGACUUGAUGUGCUGGUGCCUGAAGCAGCUGGAUGAUCAUAGGCUCUUCCUUGUCUACGAAUUGAUGCCUCAGGGUGAUCUCAACCAUCACCUACAUGACAAGGACGCGACAGUUCUGCGAUGGCCAACCAGGUACAAAAUAGUGAAGGGGAUAGGAUCGGCUCUUUUCUACCUCCACGAGUGUUGCGUACAUCCUACAUAGAGAUAUCAAGCCAGGCAACAUACACUCUUGGAUGAUGAUUACAAUGCCAAGCUCGCCGACUUCGGGCUAUCAAGGAUUGGCAACAAAAACAACUCCUCACUGGUGACCACCACCGUGAGGACCAAUGCUUACAUGGAUCCCAAGUUAAAAAUAUAAGGUGAUGUCAAGUUCGACAGGAGCACCGAUGUCUAUAGCUUCGGGCUCAUUCUAUUGGAGAUCGCGUGUGGGUGGCGCAACUCCAGGAAGGAAGUAUGGGAUCACUAUAAAAGAAGUGGUCCCAUGCUCGAUGAGAAUUCGGGAGGCAACUUCCAUGGGGAGCAGAUGAAGAUGGUGGAGGCCACUGCUGAUGAGAGGUUGGGAGGCGACUUUGAUAUGGAGCAGAUGCAACAUGUACUUGUCAUGGGCCUUUGGUGUCCCCUCCCCAACGGUGCAGAGUGACCUUCCAUGCUGGAAGCAAUGCAACUACAGGAAAAAGACGAGCUGCCUCACCUUACAUCGUCAGCCACCACCACUUGUAUUUAGUCUGAUUAUUAUUAGCCAACAUUUGAAAUAAUGCUAUUGGGCAAAUGUCCAGUGGGGAAGUUCCCAGUGAAUGCACCCACAGGGCACAUGCCUUAGAUCCUGAUCGAGCGAUGAAAGUUUUUCUAGAAAAAAAUGGCUUCAAAAGUAAACCUGUCAGGCAAAAUGUUGCACUCCCCAGUGAACUGCCCCCGCCCCCCUCCUCUUCAACUAAAGUUGCCACCCCCCUAGUGUUAGAGUUAUAUUAUAAGUCAUGUACCCCUUUGUAUUUAUCCCGUUAUAUAAGGGGUUUCCUGCAUAUGUUUCACAUCUGUACAUGUAUAUAUAUAUCGGCCUAUGGCCUCAUGGGCAUACAAGUUGCAUAUUCCUAACAUGGUAUUAGAGCUAGGUUAACUUUUUUUGCACGCUGCAACUCGUGCAAUUGAUCCGUCUCUCCUCCCGAUAGAGGCCGCAGCCUCGAUCUCCUUGUCCCGCUCGGAUCCCGUCCUGGAUCGGAUCGGGCCUCCUCUCCCGUUCUUGAUCCUAUAAGGAUCGCUCGCAGCCCCUCCCCCGAUCGAUCGCUCGCAGCCCCUCCCCCGAUCGAGAAGGACGCUCCCGCUCGAGCUCGCCCUUGUUCCGACUCGCACAGGCCCUGCUGGAUCCCGCCGCUGCCUCCAGCUGCCAGCCGCCCCUUGGUCUGGAUCGACUGCCUGCUGCUCCCCCGAUCCCGUCCUGUUGCCGAUUGGAAGCUGGUGGUCUCGUCCCUGCUGCUCUUGUCGGAUUCUGCUGAUUUUGGAUCUCUGCUAAAAAAAGAAAAAAAAAGAAGAUAUGUCUGCUGCAUCGGGCUAUGUUACACCGAGUUCACUGGCUUUAUGCGCAUUCACAUGUGUGGCAUUCGUCUCUGGGGUGUUCUUUCUGGCGAGGUCUGCUGUCCGCCACGUCCGGUUCCUCCGGUGGCCCCUACUCCGCCGACUCCACUGGUUCUUGCUCCGGAUGCUAAUCAGGCCGCCAAGGAUGCGGCUAAGCUUGCUGAUGAGGCUGCUGAUCGUGCUUAUGAUGAGAAGGUUUUGGCUCAUGAGGAGGCUCUUCAGAUUUAUCAUGGUGCUCUGUCUGCUUACACCCAGUGGCUUGAUGAUGAUGCUUGUGCUGCUGCUGUUCUCACUGCUAGUGUUCUGCCUCAGUUUGCUUCUGAGUUUCUGGGUCUUCUUACUGUCUUUGAGAUGUGGACCCCGUCUUCAUCAGCGCUAUCAGCCCUCUGGUGAUGCCUUAUACCUUUCUGUGGUCCGUCAGGAGCAUGCUCUUCAGCAGGGUGACUCUACUGUUGAUGACUUCUAUGCACAGAGUUCUGCUAUCUGGCGCCAGCUUGAUUCUCUCCACAGUGCUGGUUGUCGUACCUGCCCCUGUUGCCAGGCUGUCCAGGCCAAUUUGGAGUUUCAUCGCGUCUAUGAGUUCCUGUCUCGGCUCCGUAAGGAGUUUGAGCCCCGGCGUGCUCAGUUGUUUGCUCGUGGCCGUAUUUCUCUCAUGGAGGCGCUUUCUGAGAUUCGUGCUGAGGAGACUCGCUUACGUGGUGCUGGUUUGCUGGAGGUUCCCUCUGUGCUUGCUACUCGUGCUCCUACGCCACCUGCUGCACCGACCCCUUCUCGCUCGAGUGCCCCACCGCUCUUGCCCACUCCUUCUGGAGGCUCAGGUCGCCCCCGUCCACAUUGCGACUACUGCAACAAUGAUGGUCAUCUUGAGUCUCAGUGCUACACGAAGAAGAAACACCUGCGCAAGGCGCGAUCAUCAUCUUCAGGGACUUCGUCAUCUACCUCGACAGCUUCAGCCAUUACUUUGACUGAGCAGGAUAUUCUGAGACUUAAGCGUCUGCUCGCGGCUUCAGGUUCUUCCUCGACGGGUACUGCUGGUUCUGUGACUGAUGCUUCCCGCACUGAGCAAUCACCCUCUACACAGUCAAGUACAUCCCCAUGGGUUCUGGACUCUGGAGCUUCUUUUCAUAUGUCUUCUCAUUCUUCCAUUUUGUCCUCUCUUCGCUCGCUGGAUUCUCCUGUUCAUGUCCUCAUUGCUGAUGGUACUCCACUUUCUGUCGUUAGUAGAGGCACUCUUGCCACUCCUUACUCUGUUCCUGAUGUUGCUCAUGUUCCUUGACUCACCAUGAAUUUGUUUUCUGCUGGUCAACUUACUGAUUCUGGUUGUCGCGUCAUCCUUGACGUUGACUCUUGUUCUGUCCAGGACCGUCACACGCACACUCUGGUUGGGGCUGGCCCUCGCCGCCGUGAUUCUCAGGGUCUUUGGGAGUUGGACUGGCUUCAUGUUCCUUCUGCUGCCACCACUAUCGCCAGUUCCUCCGCUUCAGUCGCCUCUGUUACUGGUUCCUUCAAGCAGUGGCAUCAUCAACUUGGUCAUCUGUGUGGUUCUCGGUUGUCGUCUUUAGUUCGUCGAGGCCUUCUGGGGUCUGUCUCAGGAGAUGUCUCUUUAGAGUGUUAGGGUUGUCAUCUUGGCAAGCAGAUUCAGUUACCAUAUUCACAUAGUGAGUCAGUGUCUAAGCGUCCUUUUGAUUUAGUCCAUUCUGAUGUAUGGGGUCCGGCUCCUUUCGCUUCCAAAGGUGGUCAUAAAUACUAUAUUAUUUUCAUAGAUGACUUCUCUCGUUACACAUGGCUUUAUUUCAUGACUUCUCGUAGUGAGGUGUUGUCUAUUUAUAAGCGUUUUGCUGCCAUGGUUCAUACUCAGUUCUCUUCACCCAUUCGUGUUCUUCGUGCUGACUCUGCUGGCGAGUAUAUCUCUAAGAUGUUGCGUGGUGUUCUUGCUGAGGAAGGCACUCUCUCUCAAUUCUCUUGUCCUGGUGCUCAUGCUCAGAAUGGUGUGGCUGAGAGAAAGCAUCGUCAUCUUCUUGAGACGGCUCGUGCAUUGCUGAUUACUGCCUCUCUCCCGCCUCAUUUUUGGGUUGAGGCCGUCUCCACCUCCACCUAUCUUAUCAAUCUCCAGCCUUUCGCUGCUCUACAAGGUGGUGUUCCUUUCGAGCGUCUUUUUGAUCGUUCUCCCGAUUAUUCGAUGCUUCGCUUGUUUGGUUGUGUUUGCUAUGUUCUUCUUGCCCCUCGCGAACGCACCAAACUGACCGCUCAGUCUGUUGAGUGUGUCUUUUUAGGCUACAGUGAUGACCAUAAGGGCUAUCGUUGUUGGGAUCCUAUCGGUCGUCGGAUGCGUAUCUCUCGAGACGUGACUUUUGAUGAGUCUCGUCCCUUCUACCCACGCCCAUCUUCCUCGACCUUUUCAGUGGAGGAUAUCUCUUUCCUCACUUUUCCUAACUCACCUAUCACCCCCGUCGAGCCUGUGCCUAUUCGUUCCGCUCCCUCUGCUUCUCCACCUCUAGUCGAUUUGAUGCCACCAUCUUCCACGGUCUCCUCGUCUAGCAUGUCACCGGAUUCUACACCUUCAUCUCCGAUGACUUCUUCGUCGCCACCCCUCGAUUCUACCUUGGCGAUUCCUCCUUCUAUUGUUCCAUCUUUUCCUUAGUAUUACACUCGUCGUUCACGUCCUGUGGAUGCCUCCGUGGAUGUGUCGUCAUCUUCCUCUCAGCCUACUUAUGGCUUGCAUUCUCAUCCUCGUCCGCCUGUUGAUUGCUUUGGAUUUCCCACCGCUGGUGCUGCUGUUCUUGAGCCGACUUCUUAUCGUCGAGCUGUUGUUCAUCCUGAAUGGCAGUUUGCGAUGGCAGAGGAGAUCGCUGCUCUUGAACGCACUGGUACCUGGGAUCUUGUUUCCCUUCCUCCCGGAGUCCGUCCCAUCACUUGUAAGUGGGUCUACAAGGUUAAGACUCGCUCCGAUGGUUCUCUUGAGCGUCACAAAGCUCGUCUUGUGGCUCGUGGUUUUCAGCAGGAGCAUGGUCGUGAUUACGACGAGACUUUUGCUCCUGUGGCACAUAUGACCACUAUUCAUACACUUCUUGCCGUUGCCUCUGCACGCCACUGGUCUAUAUCUCAGCUUGAUGUUAAGAAUGCUUUUCUUAAUGGUGAGCUGCGUGAGGAGGUGUGCAUGCAGCCACCACCUGGGUAUUCUGUUCCUGAUGGCAUGGUCUGUCGUCUUCGUCGCUCUCUAUGGCCUUAAGCAAGCCCCCCGUGCCUGGUUUGAGCGUUUUGCCUCUGUGGUCACUGCUGCUGGUUUUUCAGCAAGUGCUCAUGAUCCAGCAUUGUUUAUUCACCUUUCUCCUCGUGGUCGGACUCUUCUUCUUCUCUAUGUUGAUGACAUGGUCAUCACUGGGGAUGACCCCGAGUAUAUUGCCUUUGUAAAGGCCUGUCUUAGUGAGCAGUUUCUUAUAUCUGAUCUUGGCCCUCUUCGCUACUUUCUUGGGAUUGAAGUCUCUUCUACCUCUGAUGGCUUUUUUAUAUCCCAGGAAAAGUAUAUCCAGGAUCUUCUUGCUCGUGCUGCUCUUAUUGACGAACGCAUUGUUGACUCCUAUGGAGCUCAAUGUUCACCUCCGUGCUACUGAUGGUGAUCCCCUCCCUGACCCGACGCGUUAUCGUCAUCUUGUUGGCAGUCUUGUCUAUCUAGCUGUCACUCAUCCGGAUAUCUCUUAUCCGGUUCAUAUUCUGAGUCAGUUCAUCUCCGCUCCCACAUCGGUCCACUAUAGUCAUCUCCUUCGUGUUCUCCGAUAUCUUCGGGGCACAAUCUCUCACCGUCUAUUCUUUCCUCGCUCCAGUUCUUUACAGCUUCAGGCUUAUUCGGAUGCUACGUGGGCUAGUGAUCCUUCAGAUCGCCGUUCACUUUCUGCUUACUGUGUUUUUCUUGGUGGUUCUCUCAUUGCCUGGAAGACGAAGAAACAGAUUGCAGUUUCCCGUUCGAGUGCCGAGGCUGAGUUGCGAGCAAUGGCUCUUUUGACGGCAGAGGUGACUUGGUUACGGUACAGGUGCUAUUAGCAUUGCGCGUGAUCCUGUGAAGCAUGAGCUCACCAAGCAUAUUGGUGUUGAUGCUUUCUAUGUACGCGCUGGUGUGCAGGAUCAGGUUAUUGCUCUUCAGUAUGUGCCUUUCGAGUUACAGUUGGCGGAUUUCCUGACGAAGGCCUAGACUAGAGCACAACAUGGCUUUUAUCUCUCCAAACUCAGUGUUGUUCAUCCACCAUGAGUUUGAGGGGGGGGGGGGUGUUAGAGUUAUAUUAUAAGUCAUGUACCCCUUUGUAUUUAUCCCAUUAUAUAAGGGGUUUCCUGCAUAUGUUUCACAUCUGUACAUGUAUAUAUAUCGGCCUAUGGCCUCAUGGGAAUACAAGUUGCAUAUUCCUAACACCUAGAACUAAAUCUGUCAGGCAAAACGUUCGCUUUUGCCAUCUUUCCUGACGAACGUUUGUCAGCUAACGAGGUCCAAUAUAAAUACCACUGCAAAAUAGGGGUUGAUUCCAUAGGAAAUUUUUCAGGGCAAUUUCAUCGGUUGCCUUUCAACAUCUGCUCAUAUUAGAGAAUCCCUCGGGCGACACAAAGAACCAGGACCCUGUAACUAGAAGGCACGUCUUGGUCUUGCCACAGACAGAAAGAAUUGGGAUGGAAUCAAGUCUUGACAAGGUACAACAACACAAAGAUGAAAGAUUAAAAUAAAGAUGGUCCAGAGAAUAUCACUGCAAUCUAGGGACUAACAUAAGGCCAUAAUUAGGAGAAGCUCGGUGAGACAACCCAUGGAUUUUGAAGGAAUCGUUUUAUGAAAAAAAUAUCAUGCGUGGGCAGAACUGCCCUUAUCUACAGCCUAUAUGGCUGACAGUAUGCAUAAGUAUCAAUAUGUAUAGAGUGCAUAGUCCUACUUUACACGGACAUACAGCGCAAUUUUACGUAUCAUUGUUACCAAGAAGAGAGGGGGAAGGGGGUACCUUAGCCAAAUGCAAGUGUAUGUGUAUAUCUCCUCUGAGAUGCGAUCACAGAUUGCCAUUAAGUUCACUGCCUUCAGAUCGAAGAUCCUGUCAUUUUUUCUCUCCAAACAUGCUGCCAAAUCAUCAUGACAAUGGAGGAGAAAUCUGCCCGAACGAUGUGCAAUCAUGUUGUGCAGGUUUAUUGGAAGACACGUAAAAUUGCUUAAAUAUUUAGGUGGGUUGCAAAUAUUUAGUGUCAGGUAAGUAGCCCCUACAGUUUUCGGUGUACACACAAAAAAUAAUUCAACCAUGGCAUUGGCAAACACACAUACAAAAGCACAGAGAUAUCAUUAGCUCCGAAGGAAAAAUACUUAUAGAAGGGUACAUAUAAUAUGCAUUGAUCAUGUUAAUACACAGAGGAUAACAGUAAGUAAAAAUAUACUUAUAGAGCCUGUCUGAGUAGUAUGUGCAUAUGGCAGCUAUGAUACUUGAAGCAAAAUAGUACUCCCUCCGUCCGAAAAAGCUUGUCCGAAGCUUAUUUCUCAAAUGGAUGUAUCUAGCACCAAGUUAGUGCUAGAUAUUUUUCGGACAGAGGGAGUAGUAACAAAAACUAUUUACAGGGCCAUGCACAACAUGACUACGGAUAGCAUGAAGAUAGAAGUAGGGCUGUGUUACAUGGAAAACAUGAACAUUUUAUCCAUAGGGCCAUACUUUUGAGUAUUUAGCUUAGAAGCAUAAUCAGAUAUUUGGAUCAUGUGAUGAAAUUAUUCCCAAGAAUCAGAAGAUUUUUUUUUUAAAUAGCAUUGUCUUGCUAAGGUUACUUAAACAACUACGGAAUGGGCAUCAAACCCAAUGGAAGCCAAGAUAUACUGAUGUGAAGCUUUUAACACUGAACAUCUAAGGUAGAUAUCAAAUCUAUGGAUGCAAAGGAAAUACAAAAGGCAAUUUCAGGCUUUCAGCACUGGAAGUUUUGGAGAUACCAAGUGAUGCAUUCUUUGGAGAGUUGACGCAGACACAUAGCCAUUUACCGAUGUACAUCAAACCCAAUGGAAGCCAAGAUAUAUUGUCCUGGGUUUAGAUUUUGGCAGUUCAUAUAUUUCAUCCUACGCUUCAUACCUCACCAAAUAUCUAUGUUACAGAUAUGAGCAGUCUUAAGCCAAUCAAAGACAUUAUCCUUUUGGCACCUCUUGCUGAGCUUAGAGUUGCAAAAUCCAGAUCAUUUCAUCGUUGAUAUAUGUAAGCAUUCCAUAGAGCUCAGAUUUGCCACUUGCUUGGUCAGGCACAGCUGAACAUAAGAAACGAUUAAAUUUUCAUGACAGACUAAUAAGAACCGCAAACAAUUAGAAUUUUAAAAGAGAUUGCAAAAGAGUUCACAACAAUAGGCAUCUAUAUCAUGGAUGCAGAAUUUAAUAAGAACGGCAAACAAUUAGAAUUUAAAAAGAGCUCACUGAUCAGGCUAUUAAUCAAUAAAACUAAUGUGCGUAACUCUAAACUAAAUGGCAUAAACGGUACUAAGAACUACAGUAUGAUUAUUUUAACACAACAAAAUAGAUAGGUAAAAAUUAUCUUGAUUCGCACAUCUAUACUUGUUCAAAAAGCAGUAUAGCUCAAUGGGGCAGAUCCAUUUAUUGCUUCUAUAUUUCUGUUGUCAGUUGUGUCAACUGCAAAUAAAUAUACAGCUAGGAAGUUUCACAGGUUCCUUCUGCAGCAAGAGGCAGAAAAACACUUCGCCGAUGACAAAUAAACCUACAUUGCAAAUGAACCUAUCCUGUUGGCGAGCCUAUCCUACAUUGCAUAAGGUCAAAUAUAGUUGAAAACCACCUGAAGCAGAUUAUGUUACUUCAAAAUCAGAGUGGCUUUCAUUGGCGGCUGAUGCUUGACAAACCUACACUGCAGGAUAGGCUCACCAACAAAGUAGCCCAAUAUUUAUAGUUGAAAACCAGCUGAAGCAGAUUAUUGUACUUGAAAAGUACAGAGAAUAGCUCACUGAUACUCUCAAUUCACUUGCUGAAUGGCCUGAUCUCGUACUGUCUUAGCUCCAAUACAUCUUUCGUGCAUUUUAACAGGGGAAAACUUUGACUCAUUGAUUUCAAAAGAAUGACAUCUCAUGGUUUUGAACAGUAGACCAGAUACCCAUCUUGCAUCAUUAAACACAAUCAAAACGAAGAAUUCCAUCAGUAGACACAUCAAUUUGCCACUUAUGCUAGGAUGGACAACAAGCCUAAGGUGAUAGUUUGUACAAAGACUUACAGCUUAGCUGAAAGCAACAAUUUGGUCUGAAAUUCGUAACUUGAUGAAAUUCAUUUUGUGAACUGACAGUUUUGCAGUAGAUAUGAUAAGAUUAAUUCAAGACUAGUAGAUAGAUAUUAUAAGACUGAUUAAUUCCAUGUCCACUGAUUUAAUUCUGAAGAUUAAGGGCAGAUAUAAAUGAUAAAAAGUCAGUUGUUAAUCAUACUUUAGAGCCAAAUAGGUUAGUUGUUCAAUAUUUAAACAUUCCCAGCAAAAGUAUGGUCAACUACAGGAUUUAGGAAUUUGAAGAAUACAAGGAAAGAAAUCAGAAGGCAGGCAAUAAACAUAGAACCGGUAGAAAUAUAUCUUCUAGAAGCAUAAUCUAAAUAUUAUACACUGAACAAUUUGGGCAAAAAGACGACGAACUGAAAAAGGAACAUGCUAGACAAAAUUCGGCGUGAAAGCACAUCACAACAAUGCAGGAUAGUUCUUUUGCUUUCUGAUUUUCAGGGUCCUGGUUUCAACAGAAAAUUGGUUCCAACCACACAUUCAUUUCCGUCAUCUUAAACAGAAGAGGGAACCAUAAAUAAUUCCUGGACUUCUUAUCUUGAGAGAUUGCAGGCAAUGCUUUCUUCUCUAUCAAAUGGCAUCAACUCAUGGGGCUUAAGGAAUCAACAGAUAUCCAGUUAGGCAAAGAGCAAACAAACAUAAUUUACCAGAUUACCAUGCAGAGUGAAAACUUUUUCGCGCCAUAUGCAGCUACCAAUUCUCAUAGCCCGUUC
rnacentral:lncRNA from 1 species